AGUUUUCUCCAUUCUAGUCUUUUGCUGUUUUUACAUUUCAAGAAAAAAUGACAAGAAUCCUACAGAUUCUGACAACCUUUUGCCGGCUCUUACUCUUUCAACUCUUUGAUUCAGUAAUUUCUUUUUUUAUUAUUAUUAUUUACCAUGAUUAUUUGUUUUAUCAGAAGGAUUUGAUAAGUUCUUUGAAUUGUUCUUGUGCUAUUUGUUUGUGGGGUAUUUUAAUAAUUUUUAGUAAAAGACUAAUAAUAAAUAGUUUCGCGUCAUGUCUCUUCUGGUAGUAGUAUUAGUAUAUAUUUUUCUUUUCUACUUGUUGUAUCGUAUACCUCUGUUUUCUUACUUGCUACUGUUGUUACUGCUUAUGUCUUCAUAAAUAUCCUCAUGUUUUUGCUUUCCUUCCCGAGGAUUUAUGGGAAAUAAAUUUUCUACUUGCCAAGGUAGGGGUUACGUAUGUUGUUGUUAAAGAAGAAGCAUGUAGAAAGAGAGAUGUUUUUCUUUGUCUCAUAAGUAUUUAGUUAGCUUGCAAUAUUUUCAUGAAUGGAUGAUGAUUUGUGAGUGGCUAUUUAUGAGUAUUUUGCUUUGUCCUUUGAAACCUCAUGGACACUAGUUUGAUUCAUGUAUAGUCUCUAUACAUAGAGAUGAUGAAGAACAACUUCUUCUUUUUUCGAUCAUCAACUAAUGAUGCAAACAAGACCCCUUCACCACCAUUAAAGUCCAAGGAAUUUUCUUCUUGGAGGAGUGUUUCAUUGUCAUCUGUAUCCUUCCAUGACAGUGGGUCAGGAAAAAAGAAUUUCACGGAUCUGAGCAAAUCUCCCCAU
rnacentral:lncRNA from 1 species